AUGGGAGUACCACCGUUGAAGCCACGGAGCAAUCAACAUGAGGAGGAGAAGUUGUGGAUAGAAUCAGUGGAGAGUAGAGGAUUAACUCCUCGGAGCAGCACGCCCACAACCCCCUACAAUCCCAAGAUGGUGUCUUCAAGAAGAACACAACGCCAAAGUAUGUCACCACCAUCCAAUCCAAGCAAUUUAAGGUUUUCACUCGGGAUCACGCAAGAGGGAGGGGGAGAUAGGUCCAGACAAAUGCAUCAAGGAGGGAAGCGGCGCUCGUACGUAAUGCCGCUGCGGAGACCGGCGAGGCCGAUCAGGGAUUUCUCCCGGAAUUAG
rnacentral:rRNA from 1 species